CUACAAUUGACUAUGAGUUUAGUCUUAUAACUUACACCACAGUUACUGUGGAGUUUUGCAAAAUACUCUCUUGCUUUUCACACUCUUAGCUAAGUGAUAGUGGAGCUUGUGUAAGUGGGGAAGAUAUAUAGCUUCAUUUAUUAUCAGGAGAAAUAGAAUUUGCUCAUUUUUAUUCAUUUUACUAAGACUUCUUCAUAAGACUUGGAAGGCUUAACUGUUGAUAAUUUCUGAUUGUUCACUAAUGAAAGCCAACACUUUAGGCAAAGAGUGUUGAUCAACACUGCGGUCCUAUUGAGAGGCGACGCCUAAUAUCAUCAAAGACCGGUUGGUUGAUCUGGGUAGCUCUGGAACUCUGUAUUUAUAGGUUUUGUUUUGAUUGUAACAAUUCUUUAAAAAUCUUAAAAAGACAGCAUGCAUCUUAAGCCCCCUUUAGACUGGAAAAAAAACUUGGUUAAUUGCAAGAACAACAAGUUAGUUCAAUGUUAAGUCCUUGGUAAACUAAAGACCCUUUUAUACUUUUUAUACUACAAAUAGACUUUAUACACGAAAAUAGACUUUGUGACAUUGAAAAAUGUAUGUGCUUAAAAUUUUUUAAAGUAUGCUUAUUUUUUACUAGAUGAAUGUGUAUUUUUAUGAAGCAUAAAGAUGAUGGAAAAAAGACACACCCUUUUUAAAAUUGUGCCUCCGAUCUGUGACCAUGGAAACACAAGGUUAAUUUUUUGAAAAGCUGUCUACUGAUGAAUUAUUCUAUAUUAUCCUCCUUUAGAACCCAGGGACUUCUUGUCCAAGAGAGUUUGCAGUGUAUAAGUUUCAACCUGCUGACCUGGUGCUGAUAAAAGCCUGGAGAGAGGACAAGGUCCCAUCCAUUAGGGGAGUGUCUUCAUAAAUACUGCCAACCCCACAACUGUAUGGAUUGCUGAAAGAAGUGAAUUUACUACUCCUGAGUCAAGAAGUCAAUUAAGGAGGCUCCAACACCCAAGAGGGAGAUCAAAGAGAAGCAUUUGGGUCAUCCAAGGAGCCUUUCAGUUCCUUCUAAAGACAACCUGAUGAUGUCUGCACAAGGAACACAAAGUUGGUGGAGGCACCUCUAACGCAUUGAGGGUUGACGAAGUUCAAGGUUUCUUCAAAUAAUGGUCAGCCUACAAGGGUGACAGGGCCGAGGAAAGCAAACGCUGUGUGACCCCCAUUUCCCGUUGUUCACCUCCACACACCUGUUGAGCCCUCCCACGGAUUCCCCACCUGUCCCUGUCACUCCUUCCUUGUGCUCGCUCUCCAUUUGUUUGUGUUGCUUUCCGAGCACAAAGACUUGCCUAAGAAAUUGGCUUUGAUUCGUUCAGCAAUCUGGCCUCGCGGUGGGGGCAGAUUGGCUUAUGGGCACCUGCUUCCCGUAUGACUGAUGCUCCAAUACAUGUGUGCUUGUGCAAUUAAAGGAGAGCUGAUUCUUUUGGCUUGGGUUGAAUCCUGGGUGGCCCUAAGAACGUGAACGAGUCACAGGCGGAAUAUGGGUGGGAGGAAGCCGGCGUGCCUGGCAAGGGAAAUGGCAUACAAAGACAGGGUCACUUAUUUUCCAGCUUACAGGUUUUGCUAAACAACCUGCCCAACAAGCCACCAGGCCCUCCCCGAGAGCUGGGAUUAAAGGCACAUGCUGUGACAAUCAGUUUUUUACACUGGAGUGUUAGGAAUCCAAAGUCAGGUCCUUGUGCAUACAUGGUAAGUACUCUACUGACUGAGCCAUCUCCCCAGCCCAAGCAUACUCUGCUUUUAUUAUACAAUUUGAUGGAUUUUGACCAAAGUAUGCACUUGGAAGAUCACCAUCCCAGUCAGAGAUGGAGCAAUGCCUGCUCCCCCUGGAAAUCCCUCUAAGCACUCAGUGGCCAAUUCCUCUUCCGAGGCAGCUGAAGGCAACAGCUGAUCUGAGCUCUGCUAUUAUAGGUUAGUCUGGCUGCUUUUAGAAUACUUUGUGGGUAGGGCCGUCAUGGAUGCUGGGCUGCUGGCAGAUUUGCCCAGUGGGGUGGUUUUCAGAGUCCCCCGUGACUUGGAUGUAUCAGUGGUUCAAUCCUUCGAGCUGCUGAGAAGCCUUUCGGUGCGCAUAGCACGUUUUGUUUACCCAUUCUCUUGUUGAUAGACAUCUGUCUGGGUUAGUUCCAGCUUUUGACUGCUUGGAUAAAGUCCUCUGAACAUUCGUGUACAAAUCUUUGUUUUGACAACUGUUUUCAUUUCCCUUGGGUAAAAGCCUAGUAAUAGAAUUGCCGGGUCAUCUGGCGAGGAUUAUGAUUGACUUCAUUAGGAAUCAACAUUAAUCCCCAGGUCAUAUUGCUUUGACAGAAUCACAUGAUUUCUGACUGGACCCUAGGUUUAAUGAUCCUUGCUGAAUUGCACUUUGCCACAGCGCUGUUCCUUUCUGAAAUGGCCUCAUUCCUUUUCUCCAGGGACUGGCUAUACUGAAUCACACAGGGAAUUCUGCAUCUGG